CAUGUUGAAUUGUUGACCCGAUUUGACGGACUAUAUAAGUGCUCUUCUCCUUGGGAAUUUGAAAGCACGCCCCUUCUAAGCAUCGCACAAUAUAUAUGCUUAUAUAUGUGGUAGCAGUCAUUGGUACAAGCAUGUGUGCAUUAGACCAGAAAAGGGGUAAGUUGCCUUUGAUACUGAUCUGGUACCCCCCUAUAAGCGUAUGAUAUUAAAUAGGUUUCUAUUGAUUUAUCAAUAGAGAAUUUAUGUCAAUUGAUUUAAUGUCGAUAUAAGCUUUAUGCAAGUUUGUUUUCUCGAGAGUACACGAUCGGUAUUAUAGCUUUUUUAUGCAAGUUUGUGAAUUCUGAAGUAGUGGAUCCUACCAUGUUUCAAACUCGCAGAGCAUAUUGAAGGUGGUACAAAUCAUUGCAGAGUGAAUUACAAGUAGCUAUAUGUGGAUUGGAAUUUAUUGAAACUUUGCAUAUUCAAAAUUUUAAGUCGAAUGAGACGUGCAUUGCACAUGCAUGCUUACUAGUAUUACAAGGCGGAGGGAAUACUAAUUAAGGUAAUUGUAUAUUGUAGCAACGUCUAAGUCACGUGUUUGCAUACUUAUGGCCAGUGAAUGAUGUGGGCAUUUUUUUAUUGUCUUGCCACCGUACAUGAUCGAGUUACAUCGGGGAAUCGAUCCGUGUGAUCCGCAUAGUGUUGUACUCUACAGGGUCAAUCUACCUUGUCAUUUAGUGUGUGCAGCAGUCUUUGUACAUUACAUGAUAUAAUCGGGACAAAAAAAAUUGCAAUCUUUACGGUGGUGGCGAUUCUCGACGAAUAUUAUCAUUUUAUUUGUGAACUUGGUGUAUCACUGAUUGCAAAUCUAGAUUAAUACCGGACUGAACUUGGUGUAUCACUUAUUUGUAAACAAAAAUAGUUCGAACAUUGUAAUAAGAAGGCAAAUAUAGAUGCUCAUGAGCUUGAUGACUAGAUUUUCCUUGACGUUGGAUUGGUUUGAGGAAUCUCUGACUGAAAUUGUGCGCUUCUCAUAAACGAUUUAACCGUCAUUUUCAAUGAACAAAGUUUUAGGUGUUUUGUGAAAAAUAAUAGAUCGGGAUAUUUUUGAAAAAAACAUAGCAUGAUAUUUUAACCUUAGAUUUGUCUUAUCCAUUUGUUGUGAGAUUAGUGCGAGCAGACCCUUUGCUCGAGCCUUUUCCGGAGAGACCUACCUCGAGGUAUCUCAGAAAUCAACGGCUCAAAAUAAACCCCGGAAACCGAAUCCCUGCGCCCACACAGACACUGUGACGGAACUCCUCCAGAUAGGAAGAUAAUGGUGGGCCGG
rnacentral:lncRNA from 1 species